CUGUCUUUACUAACUCAGUACAGAUGUAUGAGAGCUCCCUAUGUGCAAAAGAGUAUUGUCCAAAUGUGCAAGAUAAUAGAUCUAGUCCUCAUGGAUUUAAACCUAGUGUUAAAGGAAGGAGAGGCGAGCAGACUCAAAGGGAACUACAAGAGUGUGGGCUGGGGAGGAGGACUGAGGAGAAAGUAAGGUUCAUGGGCCUCCCACCCCCCAGCACAGCCUCUUUCCCCCUGGGUGCUUGGUGCCCAGCCAUAGCACCUGUCAUGUCCUUAGGCAGCUUUUCUCUACAAAGUCCAUACUGGAGUCAGUAAUGAGCUUUGGAUGCACAGGCUUUUCAGCAAGGUAAAGGGAGGCAACAAGAGAGAAUUACCUCAGGCAACACCUUACCUGAGAGCAGCACAUUUGAGAUUUUCUGCUGUGACUUGUCAUUAGCAACAUCAGAAAUGCACACGGAAGAGGAAGCAAAGAAAACUGGCCACUGACCCUGCAUUUCCCAGACUCAGAAGACACUUGUCUGGGCCCACGGAGUCUCCUUCCUGCCUUCCCUCAUUAUUUCCUUACCAACUCACAGAGGAGAAUUAGCCAGACACCUGCAAAUAGGAUGCUUACAGUCAGAGGCACUUCCAUGUUGCUUCCCCAAGCUGCCCGAGGACAGAAGCUCCUGUGUUCAGGACCUCAACCUCUGCAUCUCUUCAUUGGACUGCUGGUUUCCUGGAGGAGGAAGAGACCGAGGUAUCUACUGGCGCCCAUCUACUGGAGACAUUGGCCCAUGGAGUGUGAAUUCCCUCACUCCUCCACUCCUCCGCGGUGCGCAUGCAUGAACACCAGGUGGUCCACGAGGCAUUUUGUGUCAGGAUCAACAGGGAAGCCCCAUGACUGGAGGUGAACUGUGUGGCCUGGGUCAGGCCAGGUGAAGGUUAUUGGGACCCACACAGAAUUGGUCACUGCAGUGAAGACUGGGGCUGAAGCAAGUGGCCUUUGGAGAGGCCAGAGAGUUUCUAGAGAUCCCUAAAAGGUAUCUGGUUCAGGGACAGUCCUUCAUCUCAUUAGCAGGUCACACCUUGGUUACCAGUGAGCUCUCUAGCAGGUGCCUGCCUGCUGGCAAAGCGCUGAGAGAAGGAGACGGUCACUGAUUGGACCUGGCUGUAGGUGGAGGUGCUGAGGGUGGGGUGAGCCUCAGACAAACUCACUCCCGCACCCCCUGACCCAGGUUGGGAUGUGGCUGUGACGUGAAUCACCCUGAAAGCCCAUCUUGGGUUACCCACCUUCAGCUGGGAGGCAGACUCCCAGAGGGCCUCAGCAAACAAAUAUAACCCCAAACACAGACGAGGCAUUCAAGAGGCUCUGGAGGACUCAGCAUUAUUAAUGGCCAGUUCAAGCCAGGGAAAAUCAAUGCUGUUUAGAAAGCGCUUUGGGGAAGAAAGUAGUUUUGAUUAAGAAAAAGGAAAAAUAAAUACUUCCUCUCCCUGAGGAUGAGAGAGUGAGGCAGGGUUUCCUGGGAUUGACAGUGUUUCUAUAAACUUUUGAUCGACACCUGCCAAGAGGGAGGGUCUGUGUGUGAAUAGAAAUUAAUGACUAGAUUGACUUCUUAAUCGGAUUUUCCCUUACCUAGUUAAAGCUUCCAAAUUUCAAAAGAGAUAAUACAUAGUUUUCUACAACACAUUAGCACCUUCAUUCUCAGAACACUCAGGAAAUAAAAAAGGUUCUUAAAGCUCCACAGGACACAUCUGGAAUGCUGCGUACUUUGAGCUUGGCAGUGACAGUGAAAACAAGCCCAGAUUCCACUGGAAAGGUACCGUGUUUAGCUAACACUUCUCUCCAGGAGCUCCAAGCUCUGCUGAAUGUAAACACUUUCUCCUUUCCCCUCAGGGAAAGAGGUGGUCAGCUUCAUUGGCCCAGUUUGGCAGCCAGAGAAGCAAAGCAUGUGACAGAGAAAUAGUUUGUCCAAGAGAACAGCGACCGUGUGAGGCAUAACUGCUCUCCACGUUCCGUCUCCUCGGUUAAAUUGCUGUUUCAGACUAGACAUCACUGUAACGUCUCUGGAUUAAACACCGACCUUUUAAAGAGGGAAGAAGAGGGGCCCCAUGGACCUCAGGGGGCCGUUCCUCCAGGGUCUGGAAAUCCGCUUCUGUCCACUUUGUCCCUCACGCAGCAGGACUAAAGCUGAGCGGUUAUCUGUGGCCCACAGGCCAGCACGUCACUAAUCCAGCCAGGACUCUCACAGGCCUUCCAGUAACUGUCCGGAAUCAGGGCGCUGGCAUCCACCCCAUGGCCCAGUGUGGCCUCUGUCAGGACCUAGUGACACUUGAGUUCGAUACCCCUUUGUUGUGGGCCUUCCGGGUGCUUUCCUGAGCAGGGCCCUGAGUGGCCGCAUGAGGCUACCCUUGGCAGAGGUGAAAGGAAGGCCAUUUGGUGCUGACUCCAGGGGCCGUGCUGCCUGCGUGCGGGGAAGGCAGCACCGUCCAGUGAACAGCUGUCCCUGCUUUGUUUCAAACCCGGCCCUGUCACCUAUAGCUGUUGGUCCUGGGGAAGAAACCUUGCUGCACUUGGGCCUCCUCCUCUGUAAAAUGAAGGCAAUGAUCGCUACCUCAGAGUGAGGGGGUUACGUUGUACCAUGUACGUAAAUGCCUGCACACAGGAGGCAUUCAGUAAUUCUGGUCAUUGUUCUGACUGGUUUAAUUCCAAGCGUCUCUCGGCGAUCCUAUUUCAUUAGGCUGAGAGCUGUGCUUCCCCGAUUCCCUUUGUUACUCCUGUUUAGGCUUGUAUCUGUCAGGGAGGUCCUACAGGUGGAAAAUUACAGGCAUUGUGGAGCAUGCCUUAAAGCAGAGACACCGUUCCCAUAGGAAAAUCGGGAGCUUCCGGACCGUGGGGCCCAGGCCCCCAGCUGCAGGGUGGGGUGAAGUGGCGUUUGAACACACUUGUUUUUCUUUGCAGAUUUCGUUGGAAAUUUGAAAGGGCAGCUUGUUGUUAAUGAGACAGUGUUUUCCAUCUCCAUCUUCCCCAUCAGAUGGCAUCUACCAGGCUUGGGGGUGGGAGGGGGAUCUGCUCCCUGGCUUCCUAACUGGCCAGGGGAAUUCCUUUAGGAAAGUAAAAUUGUCAGGGGAAAGAACCCACAUGGUUCCUGGCAAAGCUGCAUGGUGCCCUCUCUCCUUUCCCCAUUCCUUCCCGCUGCUCCUGCAGCUGCUGUUCAGAUGCCAGCACAGCUGACCUUGACAAGCCCCUCCUCCUCUCCCACAACCCCUUCCAUGGGGCUGCUGCAACAGAAAGGUACUGCAUGGUGCCAUUUGUGCCCUUGCAUGGGCCACAUACAGCCCCAAGAGUGGACAAAACACAUAUUACAGAUGUGUGUCAUUUGUGCAGGAGAAGGUGUGAAUGUCUUUGUCUUCCACUGGCAUUGUGGGGGUUACCUAGGGGCUUUUUGCUUUUUCAGAGAUUACAUGUGUGCCUUCCUCUUACAAGAUGAAUCAUGACACCUCCCCCUCCCCCCAUCCCUGCCCCCACACACAAAUUCAUACAUUGAAGUCCUAACCCCCAGUACCUCAGAAUGUGACUGUAUUUGGAGAUAAGACUUUUUAAGAGCUAAUUAAGGGACAAUGAGGUCGUUUGAAUGGGCCCUAAUCCAAUAUGACUGGUGUCUUUAGAAGAAGAGGAAAUUGGGGCACCAAGAGAAGGACCAUGUGAAGACACAGGGAAAAGAUGGCCAACUACAGGACCAGGAAGAAGCCUCAAUAGAAGCCAGUGCUAUUGGCCCAGCAUCUUGUCCUUCCAUCCUCCACACCCUGAUUGGGGGCGGGCAGCGGGGAUUUCUGUUGUUUAAGUCACUCAUUCUGUGGUACUUCUUUAUGGCAGGCCUAGCAAACUAAAAUACUUCCAAUUUGUGUACUGUCAAGUUUUGUGGUCUGUGGCUGUUUUUAAUUGGGAAUCUCCCCUUUUCUUUCGUCUGAGGGAUAUAUUCAAAGGGAGCUUGUUUUAUUGAUGAGGUUUAUCAGAAACGAUCUCAUGAAGCUCUUGGCAGAUUUAGAAAAGGACAAAAUGGGAGCCCAUGCUCACCAGUGUUGGUACAUUUGCACGGCAGAUCCUAAACUGCAGAGAUAAUCUGAGAAGAUGGAUGUAUGUGUACCAACACAAAAGGUCGUGAGUUUAUGAGAUUUGCCCUGCCAAGCUGUGGCAGGAAAAAUGAACAAUUAUGAUAGCAAGUUCUUUACCUUAAAAAUUGAUUUAUAAGCAUCAGUAGAGAACUUGAUGCUUAUCUCACUGAAAAGGCUCUCUUUUUAUUUAAUAAGAAAUAGGUUUCUGCCUGUUGUAAUUCUAGCUAACCUAAUACAGUGUGUUCCGGGCUUCCAUUUUUCCUUCAGUUGUUAAUAAUUCGAUAAACUUUUAUUACAUCUGCAGUUCUUUCUGGGGCCAGAAGAUUCUAGAAUUUUUUUUUUAUAAUAAUAACAACUUUCUUUUGACUAGCACUUUCAAAGAAGUCUCAUAGCAACCCCGUGAAGCAGUACACGUAUCAUUUCUAACAAUAAAAAUUUGUGUAGUAUUUUAUCUUUUACAAAGCACAUUCACACACACCAUCUUGCUUAAUUGCCAGAGAAGAUCAAUGCAGAGAAGUUAAACGAAUUAGUCAAGGACACACAGCAAUUUUUAAUGCUAUGCUGGGAUUAGAACUCAUGACAAAGGUUUUUUUAUGACACCAUCUUUUUUUUCUUCACAAAUAGGCUUAGAGUUUUGGCUUCUGAUGGUCUAAAAAUUCUGUAACAGAUUUGUACCCUUCCUUCCAGGUCCAGUUCAGAUAUCACUUCUGUGCAGACUCUCCAGAUAUAACACAGACUUAAUUGCUCCUUCAUAGCCCCAAGCUUGGGCCCUUGCUAGCGCUCUGACCCCCUCUCAUG